rnacentral:misc_RNA from 1 species
CCCAAACUUGCAGUCCCGCAAUGCAUGAAUAGAAGACUCUGCGUGGCCCAGACACAAUUCACAAGUAUCCGACGUUACCAGGUGUCGGCGGCUUCUUUCUGCAUUCGUAAGAAGCCUGAUGUGCUUCGCCAACCAAAGAAACACUCUCACCCUUUGUGGACCUUUCCAGUGCCAUAUUACCAUCCAAUCAGAUUGCGUUGAGUGAGCCUCACCUUCCAUAAACGACAUAUAAGCAGACUUAAUACUAAACUUACCACUGGAAGAAAGUUUCCAGUAAACUGCAUCUGCAUCACUUGCUUCUUGAGGAGGAAGAAUUAUGCAAAUAUCCUUCAACAAUUUUUAGCUUAGCAGGGAAGAAAACUUACUCCAGCUCCUUUGACAUUAAUUUAUUCAAUUUCUGUAAUCCUCCUUCCCCUUUACAAUCUCCUUCUUCACCUAUU